rnacentral:rRNA from 1 species
AUGCCCCUACGGGACGCAGCAGUGGGGACUAUUGGGCAAUGGGCGCAAGCCUGACCCAGCAAUGCCGCGUGAAGGAAGAAGGCUUUCGGGUUGUAAACUUCUUUGACAGGGGAAGAGCAGAAGACGGUACCCUGAAAACAAGCCACGGCUAACUACGUGCCAGCAGCCGCGGUAAUACGUAGGUGGCAAGCGUUAUCCGGAAUUAUUGGGCGUAAAGAGCGCGCAGGUGGGUAAUUAAGUCUGAUGUGAAAGCCCACGGCUUAACCGUG